GGAAUCUUCCACAAUGGACGCAAGUCUGAUGGAGCAACGCCGCGUGAGUGAAGAAGGUCUUCGGAUCGUAAAACUCUGUUGUUAGAGAAGAACACGAGUGAGAGUAACUGUUCAUUCGAUGACGGUAUCUAACCAGCAAGUCACGGCUAACUACGUGCCAA
rnacentral:rRNA from 1 species